rnacentral:tRNA from 1 species
GGGCGGUUAGCUCAGUUGGUAGAGCGCUUCUUUGACGUAGAAGAGGCCACAGG